AUAACGAUGAUGCUGGUGAUGCUAUUUCAUGAUUUUAAUUAUGAUUGGUGAGGCGAAAUAUGUAUCGGAGAAAAAAGAAGAGAAGAGUUGAUAGGGAUGAAAGCUUUUGUGGAGAAAGAAGAUGAGUUGAUGUAUCUUAGUUUUUUUUU